GACGUAGGGGGCAAGCGUUGUUCGGAAUUAUUGGGCGUAAAGCGCUCGUAGGCGGGACAGGAAGUUCGUGUUGAAAGACCUCGGCUCAACUGAGGGACCGGCUCGAAUACUCUUGUUCUUGAGGCAAUCAGAGGGUGAUGGAAUUCCCGGUGUAGCGGUGAAAAUGCGUAGAUAUCGGGAGGAACACCAGUGGCGAAGGCGAUCACCUGGGGUUGUUCUGACGCUGAGGAGCGAAAAGCUAGGGGGAGCAAACGGGG
rnacentral:rRNA from 1 species